AUUGAACGCUGGCGGCAGGCCUAACACAGGCCAGUCGAGCGGAUGAAGGGGGCUUGCUCCUGGAUUCAGCGGCGGACGGGUGGGUAAUGCCUAGGAAUCUGCCUGGUAGUGGGGGAUAACGUCCGGAAACGGACGCUCAUCCCGCAUCCGUCCUGAUGUAGAAAGUGGUGGAUCUUCGGACCUCACGCUAUCAGAUGAGCCUAGGUCGUAUUAGCUAGUUGGUGUGGUAAAGGCCUACCAAGGCGACGAUCCGUAACUGGUCUGAGAGGAUGAUCAGUCACACUGGAACUGAGACACGGUCCAGACUCCUACGGGAGGCAGCAGUGGGGAAUCUUGGACAAUGGGCGAAAGCCUGAUCCAGCCACGCCGCGUGUGUGAAGAAGGUCUUCGGAUCGUAAAGCACUUUAAGUUGGGAGGAAGGACAGUAAGUUAAUACCUGGCUGUCUCGACGGUACCUAAAGAAUAAGCACCGGCUAACUUCGUG
rnacentral:rRNA from 1 species